UUGAUAUGGUUUGGCUCUGUCCCUACCCAAAUCUCAUCUUGAAUUUCCACACUUGGGAGGGAUGUGGUAGGAGGUAAUUGAGUCGUGGGGGCAGGUCUUUCCUGUGCUGUUCUCGUGAUAACAAAUAAGUCUCAUGAAAUCUGUUGGCUUUAUAAGACAGAGUUUCCAAGCACAAGCUCUCUUUUUGCCUGCUGCCAUCCAUGUAAGACGUGCCUUGCUCCUCCUCGCCUUCCACCAUGAUUGUGAGGCUUCUCCAACCAUGUCGACCUGAACUGUAAGAAGUGGACAAGUAAGUGCAAGAUUCAGUACUUUACUUUAUAAGAAAAAUACUUCUGCAUACAGCAAAGAUGUUGGUCAUAGGCCCUUGGUUCCUAAAACUGCUACUUCUUCUCCAAAGGUUCUUAAUUGGAGGAAACUGCUCACAGUUGACCCCUCUCAGGGAAUGACAAGGACACAGCCUAUCUCUGAGAAUUUCAGAUUCAGCUGGGCUUUUCUGUGCACCUGUCUAGUGCCAGGUAGGAAGGCUUGAUGCUUUCCCAUUCACUCUCAUCUACUAUCUCAUCCACAUCCUGAGAUAUACCAUUUCCUUGCUUAUCAGAAGAGGAAACUAAGACUCAGAAUGGAGAAAUGACAGGCUAAGGUCACACAGCAAAUAAUUUGACUCUAAGUCUUCUGGGUCUAGGUCAAGAAUUAUUUCCUGAAAUGAGGUAAACACUGCUAAUGUACAAGAUGACUGUAGUUGUGUUACAUGUAUAAACCUUUAAAACAACAUUUUAGGACUUAAGAGUUUAUUAUUAUAUUAGACUCUCUUAGAAAAUAAAGAUUAACCAAUAUGCUAAACUUCCUAUAUUAGCACCAAUACCACUGCCUCAGAGGAAGUUAGAUAUACAUUUUAUAUAGUAAUAAUAUUGAGUUUCUAAUAAUACAGCGUUUAAUAUUAGCAAACAUUUUUAUAGCACUUACUAUAAAUGAACUAUAAGGUAGACAUAGACAUUGAUAUAGAUAUUUGUGUGUAUAAUUAGCUCUUAUGAGUUAGAUACUAAGUGUACUUUCUGUGUUUUACAAAUGAGAAAACUGAGGCACAGAUUGCUCAAGGAACAUACCGAAGCUCACACAGCUGAUGACUGUCAAGCUUAGGGUUUACACUGAGGAAGUCUGGCUCCAGAGUCUCUUACCUGUCUGUCUUAGUCCCUGCGUUAAGCUUCAUUUUUCUAAAAUUUGCAAGUGGAUAUUCUAUGAUGAACUCUAGAAAUGUGGCAGAAACUUUGUCCCCCAAAUCCAUUCUGCCCUUCUUUCAGAGUAAUAGAAUUUGAGAUCAGGCACAGAGCCACAGAGAAUUAGCACCACAGACUAGGUCCUGACCAACAGAGAGUGAGCAGAGUUGAUGAACAUAGUGUCCAGUUCUCGGUUCCCGCUGCCUUCUCCCCACUGCUCCGUGGUGGGAUGUGAAGGGGUAGUGAACACCUUGGACCAUGCCAACACGGGAUACACCACAGGGAAGCCAGAACGGAGAGAAAGAAAUGGACUGCCUGCUGACUUUGUGGAGAACCUAUAUCAGCUGCAAAAUUUAUGUGAGAAAGAAUAAACCUUCAUUUUGCUCAAGCUGUUGUUAUUUUUGGUGUUUCUUAG
rnacentral:lncRNA from 1 species